rnacentral:tRNA from 1 species
GUGUAGCUCAGUGGUAGAGUACCUGCCUAGCAAGCAAGAGGCCCUGAGUUCCAUCUCAGUAC